GAUUCUCCUUCCUCUCCCUUCCUCCCGACCUCUCUCUCUCUCUCUCUAAAUCAACUUCAUCUUUCGUCUAGAUCUCUCACAGCCAUGUCUCACCAGGGGAGGGGGGCUUCCAUUCCAAUGCAUGGACAAUAUUUACAAAUUCAAUUGCUGACAUACAGAAGGGAAAAAAUAAGAGAAAAUGGGACUGUAGUUUUUCCAAAUUGUAACUAAUUAUAAUAUUUUGCCAUUAAAUUUGGCACUGUUUUUCUUCAAAAUUUUGAGUUAUUAUAUAAUGGAAUUCAAACA